AGGUCUGUUUUGGUGCAAACUUGG
rnacentral:miRNA from 10 species